UACAGAGGUCUCAAGCGUUGUUCGGAUUCAUUGGGCGUAAAGAGCGCGCAGGCGGCUUGGUAAGUCGGAUGUGAAAUCCCGAGGCUCAACCUCGGGUCUGCAUCCGAUACUGCCCGGCUAGAGGUAGGUAGGGGAGAUCGGAAUUCCUGGUGUAGCGGUGAAAUGCGCAGAUAUCAGGAGGAACACCGGUGGCGAAGGCGGAUCUCUGGGCCUUACCUGACGCUCAGGCGCGAAAGCUAGGGGAGCGAACUGG
rnacentral:rRNA from 1 species